rnacentral:lncRNA from 1 species
CAAAGACUCUUCCUUAUACUAAGGGUCUAUUAUGUUUAUGAGAUAUGGGGCAAUCUCAUAUCAUGUGUUGUGUGCUUCCACACUUGAAACAAGCAUUGUUGAAUCAGAAAUAGGGUCUAUUGCAAUGAUUCUACCUAAUGAACCCUAGAAAGAAAUUCUUGUGGAAGGCUUCUAAAAAUUGCUCCUAGGUGAUAGGAGGGCUUAGAGCAGACUUCUUUAGUCUCUAUCAGUGUUUAGCUUCUCUUGUGAACAUGAAUGCAACUAACAGAACCUCUUGUUCUGAGGUGAGAUCAAACACUGUAAAAAUC